GAUGCCACGUGGGAGGCGGCGGAGCCGCCGCCGCCGCCGGGCCGGACCCGCGGCCCCGCUGACGCUCGGGACGGCGCUCGCCGGCCGCCGGGAGGAGGGGAGGUCGCGGAGCCCCCGGGACCGCACCGGCAUCGCCGAGACCCGAUGGGUGCUCGGCGCGGUGGCGCCCGGCUCGCGGCUCGGCCUCCCGGGCCUAGAGGCGCUGGCGGCGGCGGCCGGGCCUAGGGGCGGCUCCCCGCCCUGGGCGGCGCCCUCGCUGCUGCAGGUGCCGGCGGCGGCCCAGCCGGCCCCGCGGCGGGACGGCAGCGACCUGCCCGCGGGUGCGCCGGCCGCCCUGGCCGUGCUGCGCCUCCAGCCUGGCGCCGAGGGCUCGGCGCGGGUGGCGGCGGCGGGGGCCGCGCCGCGCCUGCGGACCGUCUACGUGAACCCGCGGUGGCUGGAGCGCCAGGCCGCGCUGGGGGCGGCGGCGGCGGCCGCCAGCCCCUGCGCCGAGGCGGCGGCGGCAGCGGCGAGCGGCGCGGCUGCGGGCCCGGCCGCGGGCCCGGCCGGGGGCCCAGCGGCGGCGGCGGCGGCGGCGGGGCAGGGCGAGGCGGCGGCGGAGGCGCCGGCCACCCCCUACGUGGGGCUGCGGCGGCCGCUGGGCUACAAGCUGGCCAAGGCCACCAAGGAGCGGAUCUGGCGGGGGGAGUUCAUUGACCUCUUUUCCUUGCUCCACACAGAGCUGGCCCCCGAGCACGGCCCGCGCCCGGGGGACACGCUGGACCAGUGGGUCUCAGCCUUCCUGGUGUACGCCAGCGUGCUGUGCGAGAAGCACCCGGCGCGCUGCGGAGCCAUGUUCAAGUACCUGGACACCAUCCGCAAGCUGCACGCCACCUACGGGGGCACCUCCUGGAUGAACUACGACGAGGACUUUAGGAGGCGGGCGGCGAAGAACCCCUCUCUGCCCUGGGGUGACGUCGACCUGGACCUGUGGAUGAAGUGGAUGGCGCCGCUCAAGUCGCUUGUCCCCAGGCACUCGCGGGCUGAGGGCGAGACACAGCCCUCGCCGGCCCCGCCGGCCCCGCCAGCGCAGAGCCCCAAGCAGGAGGAGAAAAGCCAGGUGUGAUGAGCCGAUGGCCGCGUGUUUUCCCGCUCCGCUGGCUGGGCAUGGUGCCCCCUCGGAGGGGAAGAGCAGGAAGGGGCAGUUGGGGUGCCCAUACAUUGGUCGGCGGCUCCAGUCUCACGGCGCUGACCCUUUGCUCGUGCUGACCAUAGGGACGUGGUAUCACGGGUGCCCAGCUGGCCACCGUUAGAGAUGUGGUCGCUGAUGGACGCUGAGUAAAUAACUGUAGCCUUUAUUGCCCUGGCCACCAGAAAACAGGAACUCCACUAGUUCCCUCCCCCGAUACAUAACUUCAUCUUCCUGAAGACAUUAGAAAAAGAUGUGGUUUUAUUUUUUUCCUCUGAGUUGUCUUUAAAAAAAUAACUUUCUCAUCAAUACAGUUAUUUGUAUGUAAGACAAAGCGUACAGACUCUCCUGUUACUAUGGGAGCAUGUGGGUAGUUGCAGGCUGUGUGGGAGGGCAGCAAAAUUGAUGUGAAUAAAGAUAAAAUUCAGUAUGAGUGGCCACAUCUUGCAAAUGCACUGUGAUUUGAAGAUCAAACCUGGUUUGGGACUCAGGAGGUGUAAUAUACAAGUUAUCACCUGUUUUGUGGGAAAAGAUGACUCCAUGAAAACAGAAGGCCAGUUGGGAUGGCAGUCAGACUAAUUGGCCUGACUCCGUUGGUGUUUAAGUGGAGCUCUGGUAUUCUAGUGCAUUCUUUUACCUCUGCUUCUGUUGCGUUGCAAGCUGUGCUAGAGAAGACGUAGGAAAUUCAUUUUACCCAAUCAGCAAUUGUAACAAUGGACUACAAACCUGCAGAGCAAGCCAGUUUGCUGGAAAACAGGAAUUCCUGCAGCGCAGCACUUGUCACAGACUAUCCAAAGAGGGCAAAGAUUCAGGAAGGUGAAUAAAUUGAACAUUGGUUGAAUGAGGUCAGGAACAGUCUCCCGGAGGAGAACCCUGCUCUAAAAUACUACUUUGAAAGUAAAAGCCAAUUUAAUGUGCAGAUUAAACCUUCUCAUUUGACCAAACUGUGUGCAAUCCUGGAUCUUUGCAGAUCACAACCGGACACUUCAAAACCUUAUGUACUAUAUUUGUUUAAAAAAAAAAUAAAUCAUAACUUGUCUUGUUACAGCUGUUACUUUUGCCAUUUCAUUGAGAAUAUUUGCAACAUAAAUGUGUAUUUGACUCAAAACAGUAUCAUACACUUGCUAUAAUAACUCAGGUUGUCAACAGAAUUAUUCUGUGAGGCUCAGUAUCACCUCUCCAUUGUUCUUUAAAAAAUGCGUUAACCAUUGCUGUCAUUGCCAGAUAGCCCAACUGUGCAUUACAAAAUUCUUCAACUAUAGUAAUUGACCUAAAUUACAAUUUUGUUUUUAUUCUUGUUAGAAUACCUAAGAUCCUGAGCAUCAGACUACACUUUUGUAGUCUGGUGUUCAUGAAAAUUAUGUUCGCUGGUUCAUGGUUUAAUCGUUCUGCAUCUCAGUGUUUUGUUUUCUUUUCCUUUUUCCUUGCAUACUAGGGGUUAUGAUCAAGGUAAUACUAUGAUCCAGUAACACGCAUGAUGGUAAGGGUUUGCCUUUAGUUGUUUCAGGAAAAAGUUGCCAUUAUCUCCUCUCCUUUACGUUUCUCGAUAGUUCCAAUAAUAUGCGUAACAUGGAGUGUUUGUAAAUUGAUAUCAAACUGUUUGUGACUUCACCUAAAUAAAUUUUUAUAUUCAAAUGCUGUUCUUAAUCUUAGUGGUUUUUCCUCCUUUGUUCUUAUAUUGCCACUUCCCUUUUGUAAUCACUUUUUUCUAUCACCUGACCUUUUUACAAAAUUUUUGGUUUUCAGUUAGUAAAGCACAACCAAAUUUUAACUAUGAAGAGAAAACAGCCUUUGAAAUUUGCUUCCAAUAUUUUGCAUAAAGACUUCAUAAUGUAACUGUAGUUGUAGCUUAUUCAUCUGCCACUUGUUUAGACAGUGAUAGGUAUCAGGCCUUGAUCUGUCUAAAACUGCAAUAACUGCUGUGCUAAAAUACCAGUAUUUAAUGGCCCCCGAACUCAAACCGAUCAAGUGAAUGCUGAGAUUCCUGCAUUCAGUACGGUAGAAUAUAGAGCACUUUUACAGAUGGAAUUACAAGUUUCAAAAUUCCUUUUCAUUUUUGAGAAGAGGCUUAAGCUCAGUCAUCAGAUCAUUCAUGUAAUUUUUCCCUUGUCCUGUUGCCUUAAGAAAUCAGAACUUGGUUACUCACUGGUCUGUGCUGUGUUUGUUACCAUCACUGCUACAUGAACUACAUGCCUGCUCCAUCACUGCAGGCAUCUCCUCCUGAGGAAGUGCUGUAACAGUGGCAGGAUUUGGGGAGAGAUGUGGGAGAGGGAGGGAAUGAGGAAGGAUGAGCAAAUACUGGUCUCUUCUGUCUCCCUCAUGAAUUGUUCAAGUGUGGGUCUUAACCUACUGACUCAGAGCAGCAAAGCAGCAACAGUUUUGUUUUUUGUGUCCUAUUUGGGAGCAGCAUACCCAGCUGGAGUCUGAAACACUUCCUAAUGUUCUUUAAUGAGUCCUUCUGCCAAGAAUUUUUUGGGUUUUUUGUUACUCUCUCCAGCCUUCAUACAGUCUGGUGCUCUUCCUGGCACUCUGUCACCUCCCAGUUUCCUGGUUGCUACUGGUGCUGGGUUGGACCACCCUGUCUGCUUUGUCUGCUGUAGACAAUUGCCAGAGCUUUGUCUUGCUCUUCAGUGUCAGUGGCUGCUUUAAACUUGCUGCCUGCUUUCAUAAAGAAACUUUAAUUUCACAUUAUUGGCAGUGCUGUUUUUACAACAUGUGGGACCUCCCCCUUCUCCCCUUGUUUUUCUCCUUCUUCAUCACUCUCUUUGAGCCACACAGUAAUUUCACUGUGGUACUUGUGUAUCCUUGCUUUGGGGUUUAUUGUUGCAUAUGUGCUUUCCCCCUUAUUGGUGCGCUGUAAGCUUCUGAAUGAAACUGCCUUGUACACUAGCUUCUCGUUAAAAGGGUUGGGCUUAAAUAGGUUUGUUCAAAUUUUAACAGUUAGUUACUGCACGGGUUUGCCUAUGUCCUUGACACCGAGUGAAUCUUACCUUUACAGCUCCUGAUGUCCCGUCCUUGUUGAGUCAGCAUGAUGGCUUAUGAAAGGGUGGUGCCAAAUCUUCUGUUCACUUCUGAUUUAUGAGUAGAUUUUUUAGUGAUUGGAAGCUAAACUUGCUGUCAUUUACAUGAUAUGGCAGGCAGCAUGAAGAAUUUGAAGAUUUUUACAAAGGUGCUGCAAAGCUUUUCACCAAGACAUGGAAUUUCCAGUAGGGAGUACUUGUAAAAUGCGUGGGAAUUGAUUUGAUUGGGAGGAUGACCCGCGUCCUAUGGAAAAAUAGUUUUCUCUCAGUUGACUAGAAUUAAGGAGCAUAUACUUUAGGGGAGUAAUUUCAGACAAGUUUAUUUUUAGGGAUUUCUAGCAGGAUAGGAUUCUUUUUCACAGAUGUUCUUUUUCGUGUGCUGGAUUGAUACACAUUGUUGCAAAGAACAAAUUAAAACCAGUGCAAUGUGACUGACAGCGCAAAAUGUGUUGCAAUGUAGGAUUGAGACUUAAAUACCUAAGUCUUUAUCAAGCUUUUAAAAAGAGUUGAGCUUCAGCAGAAGUAGACUCAAAUUUCUAAAUUUCUCAAAUUUCUAAAUUUCUACUCAGAAAUAGACUCAAGUUUCUAAUUUCCACCUGUGUGCAGCAGUUCGGUUGGAGAUACUUGAAGUAUCUUGAAAACUCAAUGCUGUUACUACUUUUGGUCGUAAUGAUGUGUCUUUAAAGGUAAGAUGACAGCAGAAUAUUUCGCAUGUGGGGUAGCCUGUCGCAUCUGCAGUUGAGCAAAAUCAUUACUUCUGAUCUCAGAAGAUCCUGACAGUUAUUCAGUGUGACUUCCAAUUUAAGCUUAAAACAUUGCUUUCCCAUCUUCUGCUGUCUCCUGUCAUCUUGCGAACUUGGUAAUCUUCUUUAUAAGAAUCUGGUGAGCACAGCAAACAUGUUCUGAGGGCCAGCUGUGGGAUCAGGCAGCAUCUGACCAGCCUGUCUGCAUGUACAGAGCCUUUCACCCCCGUAUAGGUAGCUCUGUGACGGUGGUGGUCUUGCAUUAAGGAAGUCAGGCUGGAUGGAGUGCACACAGGAGACUCCCCAGCUACCUGCAAGGCUUCUGUGUUUUUGAGAAGCCAGUGGCAUUGGCAACAGGUUUUUCUGUCCACUCCUCUGGUAAAACCAAAAGCCCCAGAGGCUGUUGCAACCAUUGAGGGGAGGGAUGUGACUCAGUUCUAACAGCCUAGGUGUUGGUGGAAAUGUUGCCUUAGUGAUCAAACUUCUUUUUAGGUUAUAUCCUUAACAUAUGCUACAACAACUGAUAAUGUCUAUGGAAUACUUUUGGUAGUUCUUUCUGCAAAGAAAACUCAGCUGGAGAAAUCACAAAGCUAGAUGUUACUUUUCCCGUCUUGGUUUGGCACUCAGGUUUGUCUUUUUCCCUUUUCAUGAAGUUCAGCAUGCAUCAGCCCAGUCCAAUAAAGGACACACAUUUUUAUCCAUAAAAUCUUCUGGGUCCAGCACUUUUUUUCUUCCCCUGGGAACUCUCAUCAAAGCCAGCUGGCAUCUUUGCAGUUUAGCAGUUUACUGGGCAAUCAGCUAAACAGCAGUGAAGAUUUAAAAAGCAGGAACAUGUUUAUGUUAUUUUACAUUUUUGUAAAUGUGAAAUAAUUCAGUAAGUACUUUUACCUUUUUUGGUGGUUGUUGCUCUUUCUUUACUGUAAAGAAUACUUUCUUUUUCAUAAUGUCUCAGUGCAGUGUUGCUGUUGCAAUAUUUCCAAGGCAGCAGGGGAAUGUUUACAUCCAAACAAAAUUGUUUUCUUUGAAUUUUUUUUAUUGCAAAUAUUUGUGUCUAUAAAACCCUUUCCAUAAAACUUUUUUUUUUUUAUUCUGUGCAAAGUUAAAAUUGGAUCACAGUUUUCAGAUUUGUUUAUUUUCUGAACCAUGUAGGAGCAUUGUAUCUGAACCUACAUCAGCAGGUGUGGAAGGUGCUGCUUCUAAUGGCAGUUCUAAUGAUCAGAAGUCGAGUGGUUGUUUAAAAACAGCUACAUUGUUUGCACUGGCUUCACAUGUUACAAGCACCGUUUGCAUUGCUGAUGUUCAAAGUGUCCAUAAAUAUUACCCCCCAAUAUGAGUUUACAUGAAGACAGGAGGCAGUUAAAGAGUUACAUGAAGGCAGUAAAGUAUGCAGGUGUGGGUUGGUGGGGCAGCUUCGUUGGUAAGCUGCAAGACAACAUGGUGGCAGAGGACCUGGGCUGUGUGUCCCCGUAGAUGUGCCUGACAUAAACAGAGGCAAGACAUGCCCUUGAAAGGUGUAACGUGGGCCAAGAGCUCGUUUUCAUACCUCCUCUGCCUAAACUUCCCACCCUCCACUUGAGUGUUCUGGCAUGUAUCUUCCACCAUACCUCCCUUGUUUCUGCUCUUGGGUUUUUUUACUUUAUAACAGUGAAAUGUCAUUCUUGUGAGUGUUUGGAAUGAAGAAAUACCCCUGGGACAUGCAGAUGGUUCCCUACUGUCUAUAUGUUUCCUGUGGAUGAUCUAGGCAGUGCUAAGGGAAAAGAUUUUUUUUCUCCAAUUUUUAGCUGGAGAAUGACAGUUAUACAAGUACUUAACAGAGGUGCUGGAAUUCCAAAUGUUAGCAACUGGAUUCUGGAGAAUAAAAUAAGAUCGGUUGGAGGUGGGGAAAUUUCUGAGAGUGUCCUUGCUCAGAGCAUGCAGGCAUGUAUCUUGCUGCACUUGGUGUACCUGGGGGUAAUGGACUUGAAGCAGUAGGCUUCUUGAAGUGCUGUGGGAUUGGGAGAAGCAUUUAAUUUUCCUGUUCUCUAUCAUUUUCCUUGUCCUUUCUCCCUCACCAGCAGUCUUCCAAGUGAGAUAUGCGACUUUGUUGUCAAGCACUGGACAACAGGGGAAAUCUCACUGCCAUUACAUUGGGUUGCUGGGAGAAAUUAGUGAGUUUAUACCUGUAAGAUCGUGGGGUUUUUCCAGAAGCAGCACAAUAAAUUUGGUGGUAUUGAAGGCAAAAAGAAAGGAAAAAGAGUGACUUUGAGGGUACCCAGUCUGUUUUUUGCUUUCUCAUUGGGGAAGAGAAGAUUUAGCUAUUUGGCUUAAUGUGAUAUUGACCAGUGGAAAAGCUUUGGGAAGAGUAUCUCAGUAAGAUUUGGUACCAGAAAAGAAAUUAUGUGUGCAUUGUUACUGCUGCAGGUGCUCUGUAGGCCGAUAUAUGAGCAGAAAAAGUAGCCUUGGCCAGGCUACCUGUGAUGUUGACCCACCAAGUCUGAGGGUGUUUCAUAGAACUGGUUACAGAAUCAUGCAGCCCAAGGAGGAAACUUAAGAGAGCACUCUUCUUGUGCCUUAGGAAGCUUUAAAAAAAA